rnacentral:piRNA from 1 species
UUCAGGUAACUAUUUUGAAUUGC